GGGACAGUAGCUUACGAGGUCGGAGCGCCGGUCUGAAAAACCGGAGGAUGGAGGUUCGAUACCUCCCUGUCCCACCA
rnacentral:tRNA from 2 species